rnacentral:rRNA from 1 species
GUAGGAGGCAAGCGUUAUCCGGAAUGACUGGGCGUAAAGGGUGCGUAGGUGGUUUGACAAGUUGGUAGCGUAACUCCGGCGCUCAACUUCGGAACUACUACCAAAACUGUUGGACUCGAGUGCAGGAGGGGCAACUGGAAUUUCUAGUGUAGCGGUGGAAUGCGUAGAUAUUAGGAAGAACACCGGUGGCGAAGGCGAGUUGCUGGACUGUAACUGACACUGAGGCACGAAAGCGUGGGGAGCAAA